CAACUCUGCUCUCCAAAAGCAUCACUUUACCUGCCAGUAUUUGAACAUGGUUCAGAAGUCACCAACUACAAAUCCACAUGUUUUCUGCCAGUUGCCAGUGUGCUUUCCAACAGCAUCACUCUGUAUGCCAGUAUAUGAACAUGGUUCAGAAGUCACCAACUACAAAUCCACAUGUUUCCUGCCAGUUGCCAGUGUGCUCUCCAACAGCAUCACUCUGUAUGCCAGUAUAUGAACUUGG